rnacentral:rRNA from 1 species
GGGGCGUGCUUAAUACAUGCAAGUCGAACGAGAAAGUCACCUUCGGGUGGCGAGUAAAGUGGCAAACGGGUGAGUAACACGUAAGCAACCUACCCAUAAGUUUGGGACAACACUGCUAACGCGGUGCUAAUACCGGAUGUGAACAAUUUUUCGCAUGAUUAAUUGUUUAAAGACUUCGGUCGCUUAUGGAUGGGCUUGCGUACCAUUAGCUUGUUGGUGGGGUAACGGCCUACCAAGGCUUCGAUGGUUAGCCGACCUGAGAGGGUGAUCGGCCACAUUGGGAUUGAGAUACGGCCCAGACUCCUACGGGGGGCAGCAGUAGGGAAUUUUGCGCAAUGGACGAAAGUCUGACGCAGCAACGCCGCGUGAGCGAUGAAUGUCUUCGGAUUGUAAAGCUCUGUUGAGUGGGAAGAAAAGCUUCGGUAUGACGGUACCACUCGAGGAAGCCCCGGCUAAUUACGUGCCAGCAGCCGCGGUAAUACGUAAGGGGCAAGCGUUGUUCGGAAUCACUGGGCGUAAAGGGAGCGCAGGCGGAUAAGUAAGUUAGGAGUUAAAGACGGCGGCUCAACCGUCGACCUGCUCUUAAUACUGCUUGUCUUGAGUACAGAAGAGGAAGACGGAAUUCCAGGUGUAGCGGUGGAAUGCGUAGAUAUCUGGAAGAACACCAGUUGCGUAGGCGGUCUUCUGGUCUGAUACUGACGCUCAUGCUCGAAAGCUAGGGGAGCAAACAGGAUUAGAUACCCUGGUAGUCCUAGCCGUAAACGAUGGACACUAGUUGUCGGAGGAGUCAAUCCUUUCGGUGACGAAGCUAACGCAUUAAGUGUCCCGCCUGGGGAGUACGCUCGCAAGGGUGAAACUCAAAGGAAUUGACGGGGGCCCGCACAAGCGGUGGAGCAUGUGCUUUAAUUCGAUGCAACGCGAAGAACCUACCUGGGUUUGACAUGGGGGUGCAACUCUUUGGAGACAGAGAGCCUUCCCUCGGGAACACCCUACACAGGUGCUGCAUGGUUGUCGUCAGCUCGUGUCGUGAGAUGUUGGGUUAAGUCCCGCAACGAGCGCAACCCUCGCCCUUAGUUGCCAUCAGGUCAAGCUGGGAACUCUAGGGGGACUGCUUGGUAUAACCAGGAGGAAGGUGGGGAUGACGUCAAAUCAUCAUGGCCCUUACGCCCAGGGCUAGACACGUGCUACAAUGGCCAGUACAGCGGGAUGCUACACUGCAAGGUGACGCUAAUCCCUUAAAACUGGUCUCAGUUCGGAUUGGAGUCUGCAACUCGACUCCAUGAAGGUGGAAUCGCUAGUAAUCGCGGAUCAGCAUGCCGCGGUGAAUACGUUCCCGGGCCUUGUACACACCGCCCGUCAAGCCAUGAAAGACGGUAGUGCCCAACGUCGUUCCUCUAACCGCAAGGAAGAGUGCGCCUAAGGUAAGACCGUUGAUUGGGGCUAAGUCGGAACAAGGUA